rnacentral:rRNA from 1 species
UAGGGAAUCUUCCGCAAUGGACGAAAGUCUGACGGAGCAACGCCGCGUGAGCGAAGAAGGUCUUCGGAUCGUAAAGCUCUGUUGUUAGGGAAGAACAAGUACCGGAGUAACUGUCGGUACCUUGACGGUACCUAACCAGAAAGCCACGGCUAACUACGUGCCAGCAGCCGCGGUAAUACGUAGGUGGCAAGCGUUGUCCGGAAUCAUUGGGCGUAAAGCGCGCGCAGGCGGUCCUUUAAGUCUGAUGUGAAAUCUUGCGGCUCAACCGUAAGCGGUCAUUGGAAACUGGGGGACUUGAGUGCAGGAGAGGAAAGCGGAAUUCCAUGUGUAGCGGUGAAAUGCGUAGAGAUAUGGAGGAACACCAGUGGCGAAGGCGGCUUUCUGGCCUGUAACUGACGCU